CUACGGGGGGCACCAGUGAGGAAUAUUGCGCAAUGGGGGAAACCCUGACGCAGCGACGCCGCGUGGAUGAUGAAGGCCUUCGGGUCGUAAAAUCCUGUCAGAAGGAAAGAAGUGUAUGGUAGCUAAUAUCUGCCAUACUUGACGGUACCUUCAAAGGAAGCACCGGCUAACUCCGUGCCAGCAGCCGCGGUAAUACGGAGGGUGCAAGCGUUGUUCGGAAUUACUGGGCGUAAAGCGCGCGUAGGCGGUUUUAUAAGUCAGAUGUGAAAGUCCACGGCUCAACCAUGGAAGUGCAUUUGAAACUGUAAGACUUGAGUAUUGGAGGGGGUAGUGGAAUUCCCGGUGUAGAGGUGAAAUUCGUAGAUAUCGGGAGGAAUACCGGUGGCGAAGGCGACUAUCUGGCCAAAUACUGACGCUGAGGUGCGAAAGCGUGGGGAGCAAACAGGAUUAGAUACCCGGGUAGUC
rnacentral:rRNA from 1 species